UGAGUACGAGCGGCUACGGCCGCGAAGUGGAUGAUGUCAAGCUUCCAAGAAAAGCCCUAUACCCGUUAAGGCAUGAUGGCCUGUACCCGAAACCGACACAGGUGGGGUGGUAGAGAAUACCGAGGGGCGCGAGGUAACUCUCUCUAAGGAACUCGGCAAAAUGGCCCCGUAACUUCGGGAGAAGGGGUGCCACCGCGAGGUGGUCGCAGUGAAGAGGCUCAGGCGACUGUUUACCAAAAACACAGGUCUCCGCUAAGUCGCAAGACGAUGUAUGGGGGCUGACGCCUGCCCAGUGCCGGAAGGUUAAGGAAGCUGGUCAGCGCAAGCGAAGCUGGCGACUGAAGCCCCGGUGAACGGCGGCCGUAACUAUAACGGUCCUAAGGUAGCGAAAUUCCUUGUCGGGUAAGUUCCGACCCGCAUGAAAGGCGUAACGAUCUGGGCGCUGUCUCGGAGAGAGGCUCGGCGAAAUAGAAUUGUCUGUGAAGAUGCGGACUACGUGCACCCGGACAGAAAGACCCUAUGAAGCUUUACUGUAGCUUGGUAUUGUGCUCGGGCUCGGAAUGCGCAGGAUAGGUGGGAGGCUUUGAUCCAUUGCUUGCGGGCGAUGGUGAGCCACUGGUGAGAUACCACUCUUUCCGAGCUAGAGUUCUAACAGCAACCCGUUAUCCGGGUGCUGGACGGUAUCAGGUGGGCAGUUUGACUGGGGCGGUCGCCUCCUAAAAGGUAACGGAGGCGCGCAAAGGUCUGCUCAGGCUGGUUGGAAAUCAGCCGACGAGUGUAAAAGCAGAAGCAGGCUUGACUGUGAGACCUACAAGUCGAACAGGGAGGAAACUCGGCUUUAGUGAUCCGACGGUUCUGCGUGGAAGGGCCGUCGCUCAACGGAUAAAAGUUACUCUAAGGAUAACAGGCUGAUCUCCCCCAAGAGUUCACAUCGACGGGGAGGUUUGGCACCUCGAUGUCGGCUCAUCGCAACCUGGGGCUGAAGUCGGUCCCAAGGGUUGGGCUGUUCGCCCAUUAAAGCGGUACGCGAGCUGGGUUCAGAACGUCGUGAGACAGUUCGGUCCAUAUCCGGUGCACGCGCAGGAAUAUUGAGAGGAUUUCUCCCUAGUACGAGAGGACCGGGAGGAACGCACCUCUGGUGUGCCAGUUAUCGUGCCAACGGUAAACGCUGGGUAGCCAUGUGCGGAGUGGAUAACCGCUGAAAGCAUCUAAGUGGGAAGCCCACCUCAAGAUGAGUAUUCCCAUGGCAUAAGCCAGUAAGGUCACGGGAAGAACACCCGUUGAUAGGCUCUACGUGGAAGCGCAGUAAUGUGUGAAGCGGAGGAGUACUAAUAGACCGAGGGCUUGACC
rnacentral:rRNA from 1 species